UACCAAAUCCAAAAAUUUCAUCGCUUAUGUAUUGCUCAUGUAAAUUAUCAAAAGUCCAAAAUUCUAAUAAUUACUUAAUUAGAGUGGUUCUCUAUCAAGUACAAGUGGGAAUUAUAAGAGUUUCUUUAUAAAAAAAAAAAAAAAAAAAAAAAGAAGAAGAAGGGAAGUUAUAAGAGUUUAGAGAAGAAAGGCCCAAGCCCAUUAUGUGUUAACCGCUAAUUGACCCGGGAUGAAUAAUGGGCUACCACUUGGACUGUACGCGUGCAGUGAGACUGCAACACGAUGGGGAGAGGAAAAGGAGGGAAAGAGCAUUUCCAGCAGAACAGAGAGAAUGUGUGGACAUGGAAACGUUCUAAAUCAGAUCCUAUUCCUCUCUGCAAUCCCUACGCUACUCAAAGCCCCGCUUUCGAUCACUAUUACAAGGCAAACCAUUACCAACCAAUACUUCCCUUACUAUUUCCACUCUUAUUUAUUCUCCUUCUCUCAUUUCUUUUCGAUUUUUCAGGAGCAGGGAAUCGCUUUCGAUAAAACAUGUCAUGUCUAGAAAUGGAUAUAUUGAUUGUCUUACACAUGGAAAAGUCGAGCAUGAUUCGUAUUUCUGGAGUUUAGGAGGAAAUAAUGCCUUCAUUGCUUAUGAUUAUGAAUUAAACUACUUGAAUUUUCUUUUGUCAUCUGAAAGGGUUUUGAAGGAAAGCUGUGUGAGUGGGGCUGUCUAUGUUUCUUCUUUGCCACACCCCCUCGGGUGAUAACCAAUCUUUGAAUAUUGUAUACAUAGUUUGGUUUGACAGUUAUAUCUCUCUUACAAAUAUUGUCAAUGCUGGUUUGAAUUGUAUCCUUCAUCAGUAAAAGGUGUUAUUCGUUGUCAAUUGAUGGACUUGGACUGUUAUUGUUCUGGUUGGCUUGUUUUUAAAUUGUGUUUUUGUUGUUAAUUCUUAUAAUUGAUUAUUGGGAUGUCCAUCAAAUUAUGCCCAUGUUCACAUUUCGUGGUAAAACAUUGAAUUUCAAAUUUUCCAAAUAGAAGAUUAUUAUGUUUACCCAACUCAAACUUGCAUUUCCUGCAGAUGUUUGAUUAUUGUGUAAUAUUCAAAUGUAGCAGUCUAGAGGUUUAAGGUUGUUGUGCAGCAGUAUGCAUUUGCAUCUGAAGGUGUGAGUUUGGAUGUGCAGGUAUGUGACAAGGGCAAGUGGUUCGUCUCUUGCAAAGAUGUUCCCAUGUCUCGUAGAAAUGUAGUUUUUCCCAGCAUGUUUCCAAAUGGUGGAAACUAUCAGGAUGUUGUUGAUAGUAAUUGUAAUAUCAGCAAUGGAGAUGAUAUUAUUAUAGAUGAUGUUAAUGGAAAUUCUGAAGAUGAUGUUUAAGCAGCAGAGAAUCCUGUGAUGCAUGAAUUUACUGAGGAAGUUUCUGAUUUCCCACUUGAGCGGUUCAUGAGGUUACUGCCUCAUGAUCAGAAUACCGGAGCUUUCUUUAUAGCAGUAUUGCAGAAAGUUUCUCCUCUGCCAGCAAUUCAGGUAAAACCUAGAAAAGAAGUUGCUAAACAUGUUGACAAAGCAAACUAAGACAAUGAAGAUGCACAAGAAUUGCAGGUUAAUCCAUUGGAAAGUACACCUGAAGAAAUUUCAGAGGCUAAUAUAAAUGACAAUGGACCUAAUACAGAUUUGAAAGUUAGUUCUGCUACAUUUGAAGAAGUGGAUUUCAAGGCAGCUCAAGAUCCGUGCAAUGUAGAAAACAUAACAAAGAAUACUCCAGGCAAAAGAAAACUGCAGAUUCAAGGCAAAUGGAGAGGCAUUGACCCUGUUGUCUUCUUCAAAGAUGAAGUAGUUAUUAACAGCAUAAAGGAAUUUUAUGCUAUUGACGAGCAGUUUCCAUUCAAUGGUCACCUUGUAACUAGGAACAGUGAUACAAGCCACAUGAAAAGAAUUUACUACAUCUCCAAGUCAGUCAAAGAUGUUCUGGAGUUGAACUUCUCAGUCGGACAGCAACUUAAAAUAACUUCUGUUGGCCUGAAGAUUUUUGAAAGACAAACGUCAUGUGAAGAUUCUGAGUUCAUCUGCUAUAGACUUCAAGCAUCUUCUGCAGUAUAGAGCUGUAAAAUUUGCAGAUUUUGUCGAUGCCAAGUUUGGUGAAAGGGCUGCAAACCUAAUGCCCGGCUGUUGUGUUGUAGUUCUGGGUGAAGGAAUGCACCACCAUAAUGCAAAGUAAAUGCCCAUUAACUUGACUCUUUACAUGACCUUUUCCUUUUUCUGCAGGGAGAAGAGGUGCUGCAUGGCCCCUCCAAGUGGAUGAGUCAACAAUAGCCAUUGGCUGCUGGAAGGGUAGAGCAAGUUUGACUGUAAUGGUUGGUGCAUUGGAAUGCCAAGAACUGCUCGAAAGGCUUAUAAUGCGUCUAGAAAAAGUAACAGAAAAGGACUCCUCCAUGCAUAAGAACAGACCGUCUGAUAACAAGGGAGAUGAAGCACAAGAAUCAAACGGUAAAAAUGAAGAUGUUGAAAUUACUGGGUGUUAAAAAUUAAUAAUUAACGGAUAUUUAUCACUGAUUACUACGAGUAGUUAAUCUAGGUUUUUACUUUUUUAUUCUCGGCUCCUAUCCUCCUUACAGUUUAGUCAUGGCUCCCAUCCUUCUUAUAAGAACAAUUACAGAAAUUAAGGUUUUUGAUUCACCCGUGAAAGUUUUUGAGUUUGUUUUUCUCUCUCCCUUUUUUAUUCGUCCUGUUCUUUGUAGCCAAGUUAGAAGACAUUGCUCAAUUUUGUAUCAAUAUCCAUAGCGUCUAGUAAGUUUAGCAGAAUUGCUUAAACA